UGGGGAAUAUUGGACAAUGGGCGAAAGCCUGAUCCAGCCAUGCCGCGUGUGUGAAGAAGGUCUUCGGAUUGUAAAGCACUUUAAGUUGGGAGGAAGGGCAGUAAGCGAAUACCUUGCUGUUUUGACGUUACCGACAGAAUAAGCACCGGCUAACUCUGUGCCAGCAGCCGCGGUAAUACAGAGGGUGCAAGCGUUAAUCGGAAUUACUGGGCGUAAAGCGCGCGUAGGUGGUUUGUUAAGUUGAAUGUGAAAGCCCCGGGCUCUACCUGGGAACUGCAUCCGAAACUGGCGAGCUAGAGUAGAGCAGAGGGUGGUGGAAUUUCCUGUGGAGAGGUGAAAUGAGUAGAUAUAGGAAGGAAAACCAGUGGCGAAGGCGACCACCUGGGCUAAUACUGACACUGAGGUGCGAAAGCGUGGGGAGCAAACAGG
rnacentral:rRNA from 1 species